GANCUGUUGUCCCACGCUUUCGCACCUGAGCGUCAGUCUUUGUCCAGGGGGCCGCCUUCGCCACCGGUAUUCCUCCAGAUCUCUACGCAUUUCACCGCUACACCUGGAAUUCUACCCCCCUCUACAAGACUCUAGCUGGACAGUUUUAAAUGCAAUUCCCAGGUUGAGCCCGGGGCUUUCACAUCUAACUUAUCCAACCGCCUGCGUGCGCUUUACGCCCAGUAAUUCCGAUUAACGCUUGCACCCUCCGUAUUACCGCGGCUGCUGGCACGGAGUUAGCCGGUGCUUCUUCUGCGAGUAACGUCACAGCNGGNAGNUAUUAGNUANUGACCUUUCCUCCUCGCUGAAAGUGCUUUACAACCCGAAGGCCUUCUUCACACACGCGGCAUGGCUGCAUCAGGGUUUCCCCCAUUGUGCAAUAUUCCCCACUGCUGCCUCCCGUAGGAGUCUGGACCGUGUCUCANUUCCAGUGUGGCUGAUCAUCCUCUCAGACCANCUAGGGAUCGUNGCCUUGGUGAGCCAUUACCUCACCAACUANCUAAUCCCACCUGGGCAUAUCCAAUCGCGCAAGGNCCGAAGGUNCCCUGCUUUNCCNGUANGGNGUAUGCGGAAUUAGCAA
rnacentral:rRNA from 1 species